rnacentral:rRNA from 1 species
GUAGUCUUGGCUGUAAACGGUGCGCAUUUGCUGUAAACGGAAUCGACCCCGUUUGUGGCGAAGCUAACGCGAUAAAUGCGCCGCCUGGGAAGUACGGUCGCAAGAUUAAAACUCAAAGAAAUUGACGGGGGCCUGCACAAGCGGUGGAGUAUGUGGCUUAAUUCGAUGCAACGCGAAGAACCUUACCUGGCCUUGACAUGCAAGUGGUAGAACCAUGAAAGUGGGACGACCCCGCAAGGGGAGCUUGCACAGGUGCUGCAUGGCUGUCGUCAGCUCGUGUCGUGAGAUGUUGGGUUAAG